GCGCCUUUAGCUCAGCUGGUAGAGCAGUAGACUCUUAAUCUAUUUGUCCAGGGUUCGAGUCCCUGAAGGCGCAC
rnacentral:tRNA from 1 species